UCCCAGGUGGCUCAGUUGGUAAAGAAUCUGCCUGCAAUGCAGGAGACCUGGGUUUGAUCCCUGGGUUGGGAA
rnacentral:tRNA from 1 species